rnacentral:tRNA from 1 species
GCGGCCGUGGUCCAGCCUGGUUAAAGCUAAACGCUGCCAAAAGACUCAGGCUUCCCAAGAAAAAUCGGUAAAAGCCUGCUACGCGGGUUCGAAUCCCGCCGGCCGCA